rnacentral:lncRNA from 1 species
UUGGAAGCAGCAGUUGUCGUCCGGGCAAGUGCCGAAGAGGCCAAUUGUAAAUGGAGCAACGACAAGGCAACUGUGCAGCAACAGAACAGGAACAAGAGGGAAGGAACGUUGGAGAAAUUUGAAGGGUCAUUGUCACCAUUCCUCCACCAUGGAUCAAAUGAGUUAUCAUCAUUGUUAUUGUUGUUGUUCCCGCCUUCCCAUCCGCCUCCUGCAGUGGUCUGUGCUUCUGCUGCUACUGAUGUAGGACAAGGUUUGAGGUGAAAAUGUGAACAAGUGGAGCUUAGCCGCAAAUAUUGUGAAAAGGGAAAAGUGUAGUUGGUUAGCACAUUUGGGGAAGGAGGAGAAGUAGGAGACGUUGAAACCCAAGUUCUGGAGAGAUACAGUGGUCUGUUGCAACUGUUGCCGCAAGCCAGGUUCACCAUUUCUUUUUCACCGCUUCAAAAUGAACUAGAUAGCAAACGGAAGCUCUGCAUCAAUAGUUAUACACCCAUUGAGCAAAAUGGUUCAGAAUUUUAUCCCGAUGUUCGAGUUCUCAAUCACACAGUGAUCGCCAUAACCAACGAGGCAAGGCAAAA